AAUCUGCCCUUGGGACGGGGAUAACUCCGGGAAACUGGAGCUAAUACCCGAUGGGCGGGAACGCCUGGAAUGGUCUCCCGCUGAAAUGGCGUUGAAAACAUGCUUUCAACGUUGCCCAAGGAUGAAACCGCGGCCGAUCAGGUUGUUGGUGAGGUAACGGCUCACCAAGCCUAUAACCGGUACGGGCCCUGAGAGGGGGAGCCCGGAGAUGGAACCUGAGACAAGGUUCCAGGUCCUACGGGACGCAGCAGGCGCGAAAACUCCACAAUGCACGAAAGUGCGAUGGGGUUAUCCCGAGUGCCGUCUGAUGAGGACGGCUUUUCACUGGUGUAAUGAGCCAGUGGAAGAAGGGGAGGGCAAGACUGGUGUCAGCCGCCGCGGUAAUACCAGCUCCCCGAGUGGUGGGGACGUUUAUUGGGCCUAAAGCGUUCGUAGCCGGCUUGAAAAGUCUUCCGUUAAAUCUGGCGACCCAAUCGUCAGGCCGCGGAGGAUACUGUUAAGCUAGGGGGCGGGGGAGGUCGACGGUAUUCUCGGGGUAGGGGUGAAAUCCUAAGAUCCUGAGAGGACCA
rnacentral:rRNA from 1 species